rnacentral:rRNA from 1 species
AACGAACGCUGGCGGCAUGCCUAACACAUGCAAGUCGAACGAGACCUUCGGGUCUAGUGGCGCACGGGUGCGUAACGCGUGGGAACCUGCCCUUAGGUUCGGAAUAACUCCCCGAAAGGGGUGCUAAUACCGGAUAAUGUCUUCGGACCAAAGAUUUAUCGCCUUUGGAUGGGCCCGCGUUGGAUUAGCUAGUUGGUAGGGUAAAAGCCUACCAAGGCGACGAUCCAUAGCUGGUCUGAGAGGAUGAUCAGCCACACUGGGACUGGGACACGGCCCAGACUCCUACGAGAGGCAGCAGUGGGGAAUAUUGGACAAUGGGCGAAAGCCUGAUCCAGCAAUGCCGCGUGAGUGAUGAAGGCCUUAGGGUUGUAAAGCUCUUUUACCCGGGAUGAUAAUGACAGAACCGGGAGAAUAAGCUCCGGCUAACUCCGU